AGCGUGCCCAGCCUUGACUGCCUGACGGAUCACCUUCCGCUCCCAGGCCGCCUGUUCCUCCUCGCCGUGACUCAUGCCUAUUGUGCCAGGCUGGGCGCACUCCGCCCUGCAGCCCCACAGGUGGUAUCGGCUAGGAAAGACAGUUCCCGCCAGGCUAGGCAGUGGAGUGCUGCACAGUGCGCCUUCCCGCCUCUCAGCCUCUGCCCCAGCAGUUCCGACCCAGCGCCAGCAGGCCUGCUCGGUCGAUCUUCGAGCCGAAGAUGAGGCGGGGCUGGAAGAUGGCUCUGUCUGGGGGGUUACGGUGCUGCCGCCGCAUACUUUCCUGGGUGCCAGUGCUGGUUAUCGUCCUCGUCGUGCUCUGGUCCUACUAUGCCUACGUCUUUGAACUCUGCCUGGUGACUGUUUUGAGCCCAGCGGAAAAAGUUAUCUACCUUAUAUUCUACCAUGCCAUCUUUGUGUUCUUUACCUGGACCUACUGGAAGUCUAUUUUUACACUCCCACAACAGCCAAACCAUAAGUUCCACUUGUCCUAUACAGACAAGGAGCGAUAUGAAAAUGAAGAGAGACCUGAGGUCCAGAAGCAGAUGCUUGUUGAUAUGGCCAAGAAGCUACCAGUUUACACAAGAACUGGGAGUGGAGCCGUAAGAUUCUGUGACCGGUGCCAUUUGAUCAAGCCAGAUCGCUGCCACCACUGCUCUGUCUGUGCCAUGUGUGUAUUAAAAAUGGACCAUCAUUGCCCUUGGGUUAAUAACUGCAUUGGAUUUUCCAACUAUAAAUUCUUCCUUCAGUUCUUAGCUUAUUCUGUUCUCUACUGCCUCUAUAUUGCCACAACGGUCUUCAGCUAUUUCAUCAAAUACUGGAGAGGGGAAUUGCCCAGUGUUCGCUCUAAGUUCCAUGUCCUUUUUCUCCUCUUUGUGGCCUGCAUGUUUUUUGUCAGCCUUGUGAUUCUCUUUGGUUACCAUUGUUGGCUUGUCAGCAGAAACAAAACCACCUUAGAGGCCUUCUGUACGCCAGUGUUUACAAGUGGUCCAGAGAAAAAUGGGUUCAACCUUGGUUUCAUCAAAAAUAUCCAGCAGGUGUUUGGAGACAACAAGAAGUUCUGGUUAAUACCUAUUGGGUCCAGCCCGGGCGAUGGACACUCCUUCCCUAUGAGGUCCAUGAAUGAGUCACAGAACCCAUUGCUAGCAAAUGAAGAGCCCUGGGAAGACAACGAGGAUGAUAACCGAGAUUACCCAGAAGGAUCAUCAUCUCUUGCCGUGGAAACAGAAACGUAGCAGUUUUCACAUUUCCCACAUUCCUCAAGCAGGCAAAAAGCACCAUUCCUACAACUCCAACUCUCUCAGAAUGCUACUAAUUUUUUCAUCAGUGGCAGGUAGCCUUACACAUGGGAUUCUCUGUGGCCUAGUGAAAAGCUUAACAGCCUUCUCUUUGCAAGAUUCACAGAUUGUAAGCUCCUUGAGGGCAGUCACUAUGUCUUGCUCACAUUUUAGCGCCAGCCUCUAGCACAAUGCCCUGCACAUGGACCCUCCAUCUCCCAUGAGGCUUAUAGAGUUCAGUGUUGGAAACCAUUCUAAUCUUCAAAAUAAGUCACCAUGGCGGACUGAAAUCUUCACAACUUGAAAGCAUUCCAUCAAAUACUUGCUGUGCAGAUAGAUGUUUCAGGACUUUACAAGUUAUUUAUUAGCUGAAUUCAUCAAUCUGGUAGCAAUUAAUUCAAGCCAGUCUUCCUCUCUUUCUUUAUUUCCCCUCCCUCCAUCUGUGAAAGCCUAAAUGUAAAGUGUAUAUCUUUUCAGAGGCUCUUUUCACUCCUCUUGUCAGGUAAAGCGGAACUCAAAAGACCAAGAUUCUUUAACUUCCCUAGAAAGACUAUUAAUCAUACCAGUAGGGUCUUUGUUGUAUUGAGGGGAAUCAAACUAUGCUUGCUGCUUGUAUGCAUGUGCAUUUAUAAUCAUGCAUAUAUGCAGCAUAUUUACACAAAAUUCUGCUGUGGUGUUGUGAAAAUCAAAGUUUAAAAAAUCUGGAGUUUUUAUUCAAUCAUACUUUUUCCUAAAUAGCAAUUAAAUAUUUGCUAAGCUGUGAACACCUUUUCCAUAUCAGGUACCUAAAAUUCAGGAGGAGGAUUCAACACUGUGAUCGAGGUCCUUGAAUUGAGAAUUGAACAAUGUAAAACCUAUUCCUGAAGGCACCACAGCUAAUAGAGAUCGGAUCAGAUUUCUACUAUAUUUAUCAUAAUGAUUGGUGUUUUAAAGACUUUAAUGCCAGACUAUGGUAAAAUUCUCCAAAAACUUUUAUUCUUUUCUAUGCUACCUAGCUUUAUUUUAGCCUUUAUGAAUUACUUUUGUGAUAAAAGAAAAACUAUAAGCCUAAAUUAUUAACCAUUGGUUUAGUUAAGAGGUUUAAGGAUGAUUUCAGGUUUAAUUAUCAUACUGUUAAUAAAGGUAAACUUCCACAGUUGAAAUUAGCCUAAGAACUUAGCACUAAAGAUGUGUGUUUUCAUAACAGGGAUUAUUGUACAGAUAGUGAAAGCCUAAUAGUAAUAUGCCAAUUCUUUUUUGUUGUUGUUGUUGUUGUUGUUGUUCUUUUUGUUUGUUUGUUUCAGUAGUAGUGCAGCCAUUUAAGGUAGUUUACAUGGAUUUCCCAAUUUAUAAGCCUUUCUUUUAGUCCUAGUGCCUGAAUCAAUGAAUAGGGACACUAAUGCUGCUUCUCUAUAAUAAUAAUGCCUAAGAGUAUUGAUAGUUUUCAUUUCUCAGUCAUUGCUUUAGUUCCCAGCUGCUAACAAUAGAAGUCCUAACUCUGUUUACAAAGAUCAGUGAGUUAGAGGCAUCUUACUGAUAUCAAGUUGUUGAACUCCUAGAGGGAUAUUAAGUUUGCUAAAUUACUCCCCCUAAAACCCUUUUUAGUAAAAAGAGUUGCCUGCCAUAACUCUUUGGCUUCAGUGGAGCUACGAAUGUGAGCAAUCCAGUUACUUAAAGCAAUGAAAGACCUGUUCAUUUGAAUCCUCUAGGUAAUUGUAGUCAAGGUUAAGACUUUCAGCAUAAACUAAAUGGGGUGUGGCCAGCAUUUCAUCUGAGAGAAUACUAGCUGUGACUAAAUCUAUUAGGGCCAAGGACUGUUUCUCAAACUCAGAUGCCAAUAAGUAGCCUAGAAGACUAUGCACACUGCGUUUCAUGAUGAAACCAUGUAUGUUCAAAUAGGAAGAUUUUCUCCCCUUCCUCUUUCCCUUCAAAACUCUCUUGUUUGGGUUUAUAUUGAAAGCUUAUUUGAUCACUCACAUGGUCUUAUGUUUGACAAGCCUUGCCUUAUAUUCAUAUAGAAAUGUACCUUUCCUAAAGGUAGGGCUGUUCCUUACUUCACAGCCAGUUGGCAUCAAAGCAAUCUUUCCCUUUCUCAUCCAUCACCUUCUGCCAAGGGUUAAGCAGAAUAGCUGCUGUGAUUCAAAGUCAGGAAGGAAUCAAGAACUUGUUUGAUGAAUAGAAUGUAUCAGCACUCAGAAAUCAGGUCAUAAAAGGCAAUAUCAGAGAACUCUAAGGAAGCACUGGAAGGGUAAAACUCAGGAAAGCUAUAAUGCAGAGAUGAUUGUUUAAUGUCUUACAGACUUACACUGUCUUCUAAAGGCCAAAAAAUCAGGGUUUUACCUGGGGACUUAGGGAAAUAAAGAAACCCUAUUCCUAUCUCUGAACCUUGAUUCCACUAGUUUGUAGACUCUGAUAUUAUUCCUGUUAUAGAUCAUUGAGUACUGACUUCUAUACUUGGACACACACCCUCAAUUGGUUGACUAUUUAUAUAUAAGAAAGAGAAGUUUGUUUGAUAAUUACAUACAUACCCUGACCUGGCUCCUUUGCGUGCUUUUCCUUGGGGCCAUGUCCAAUACCCUCUGUGGGAUUUCAUUCCCCAAUCUUUGGUACCCAUCUUCCCCAUUUGCAAAACAAAGACACUAAUUGUUAGGAUCAUACAGGUGAAAGGUGCUAUGUAACUCCCCAGUGCUCUUAUAUAUCUUUCAUUGCAGGACUGGAAUGAAAAGUCUAACCAGAACAGUAUUUCUAAACAGAUCAGUGUGCUCCAUUCUUUCUUCCAUGCUGUCAUUGACGAUUGUUCUUACAGAGCUUAGAGUACUUUAUUACUGUUAUUCCAUUCAUUCUAACAGUAUCUUUGGGAAGAGACAGAAUAGAAAUUACUUUCCUCACAGUCGAACCUGAAAAAAUUAAAGGCAAAUGAAAUGAAGUGCCCUCCAAAACAAAUAGCUGUCUGGGACAGAACUCACAGUUGCCAUGUCCAGUGCACUGUUAGAAUGACUUAGCUUCCCAGUAUUGGAAUAACCAUGGAGCAGCUUAGAACAUAACAGCAAGCAGGGCAGGAUUACAUUUCAAAAUAGUCUCACUUUGUCCAAAAUCUGGAAGUAUGCAAUUAAUACAAUUCUUAUUUUCUGUGUGAUAGAAAUACUAUAUGUGCUUCUUUUCCCCUCUUUCCCCAUGUGACACAUGUAUUUUACACCGAAUGGCAUCAGCCAGUGCUGUUAUGUCCUCUGGCACCCAUAGAGCCCAUCCUCAGGGCUGUUUUUAGCAGAGAAAAGAAUAUGCUUCUCCAUGUUAAUGCCAAAUUGCACAAAGUGUAGACAUUGAGAUUAAUGGUGAUUUACGCACAAUCCUAGCAGGUUUGUUUUAAGAAUAUUUAAUAUAUAUUAUUAUAAUGUGCAUCUGAAAUUUAACAUGGCCCAAAUUCAUAGGAAUGUAACAGUCAUGCAAAGCCUGUCCUUUUCACCUAUCAUCACACAUAUAUACAUGAGUGCACACACACACACGCCCCCAAAGCAGGCUGCCUGGUCAUCAGGAGCAAAUACUUUAAAGGAAUGAGUCUCUGUCCUCUACUUUUAGAAAAAAGUCCAGGGAGUUCCCGUCGUGGCGCAGUGGUUAACGAAUCCGACUAGGAACCAUGAGGUUGCGGGUUCAAUCCCUGCCCUUGCUCAGUGGGUUAAGGAUCUGGCGUUGCCGUGAGCUGUGGUGUAGGUUGCAGACGCGGCUCGGAUCCCGCGUUGCUGUGGCUCUGGCGUAGGCCAGCGGCUACAGCUCCAAUUAGACCCCUAGCCUGGGAACCUCCAUAUGCCGCUGGAGCGGCCCAAGAAAUGGCAAAAAAAAAAAGAAAGAAAAAAGUCCAACAGUCACUGCAAGUGAAGAAUAUUUCAUUUAUACAUUCUAGAACUUCUGCUCCUAGGUACUUAAUUAGUGCAAGAGACAUGUACUGUGCCUCUAUCAGAGUCAUAGAAGGCAUGUGACAAGAUUGUUAGACCUUUCCACAAGUCUCAUAUUCUUAGAAAAUUCAUGACUUCCAUCCAAUCAGUAGGAAGUGGUUUAUGAGGUAUAGCACGUCUGCAUUUCUUCAACAAUAGCUAUAAUGUACCAUAUUAAAUUAUAGUCUUUUGCAUGCAGCUAUAAUGUAACAUAAUAAUGAAUAGAUAUCUCCUAAUAGCAUGCAACCCAUGACUGUUUACUUCCCCAAAAGGGCUAGAGCUGUGUCCCACACAGUGUUCAAAACUAUUAAGUAUAUUUUUUGUAGCAGCCUGGUAUAUGACCAUCAGUAGAUUUAGAUAUGACUGUAACAUAUCAGGAAAUAGAUUAUUAGUAGAGAAUGAUUAAAGGGAAAAAACAGUAAGAUAAGAUGCAUUUAAGGAAUAAUGGCUGUCACCCUGUUGGCUAAAUCAGCAAAGGGACACAGCAGGAAAGUUCGUACUAUGUCUUAGUAAUAUAUGAAAUACAUUGAAGAGCCAGAAAAACUAAAGCACUGGGGACCUCAGAAGUUAAGCUCAUGUUGCCAAUUUGUUACAAAUCCUUUUUUCCCACCAAUCUGCUUAAAAUGAUUAUAUAAAGUAUUCGUAAAACCAUGUGUCUUGCUACAGAAAUACCCAAAAAUACUAACUUUAUCUUCCUAAGUCCUUUAUUAAAAGCAUAUGCAUAAAA